GGGAACUCUGAACCAGCCAUGCCGCGUGAAGGAUGACGGCCCUCUGGGUUGUAAACUUCUUUUGGAUGGGGCGAAAAAACGGGAUUUAUCCUGGACUGACGGUACCAUCAGAAUAAGCACCGGCUAACUCCGUGCCAGCAGCCGCGGUAAUACGGAGGGUGCAAGCGUUAUCCGGAAUCACUGGGUUUAAAGGGUGCGUAGGCGGUCGUAUAAGUCAGGGGUGAAAUCAUGCAGCUUAACUGCAUAAUUGCCUUUGAUACUGUAUGACUUGAAUAAGGUUGAGGUUGGCGGAAUGUGACAUGUAGCGGUGAAAUGCUUAGAUAUGUCAUAGAACACCGAUUGCGAAGGCAGCUGACUGAGCCUUUAUUGACGCUGAGGCACGAAAGCGUGGGUAGCGAACAGGAUUAGAUACCCUGGUAGUCCACGCCCUAAACGAUGUAUACUCGUUGUUUGGAAUUUAAUUUUGAGCGACCGAGCGAAAGCAUUAAGUAUACCACCUGGGGAGUACGCCCGCA
rnacentral:rRNA from 1 species